rnacentral:lncRNA from 1 species
UUCUGCUUCAGGAAAUCAGCACAGUAUGCUAGUACUGCGCUGAUCCUUCUUUAAUGGUUGAUCAGGUGCCUUUUUCUUCUUGAUUUAGACUCUUCCAAAGAUGAAAAGUAGGAGGAGGAGUUUCAGAUCUGAGACACUCUCAGAAAACUCAAGAUAGAGGGAGAAAAGAUAUAAAAACAAACAACCCUAGAAGAAGACCCUCUUCUUCUUCUCCUUUCUCUCUAUCGACACCCUAUCUUGUGUCUAUUAUAUCUCCACGACCCAAAGGUCUUUUUCUCUGAUUUUUGGAUGGCCCAAAGGCCUCUCAAAUCUCUAUCUUCUUCAAAAAUUUUAUAAAGAAACCCAUUUUAUGAAGAGAAAUAUGAUAGAGUCCUUGUCUAGGUCAAAUACCUAGUCAAGGCUUAUCCAAACAUGGCA